GGAGGGGGCAUGGGGUCUGAUCAGAAAAGGCUCCUUUAGAGGUUCAUGGACUGUUUAAAUGACCAGUGCUCUGGUGGAGUCACUCUAGGGACAAGACGAGGCUCAGGCCUGAGGACAGGGACCCUAGCAGCAGGGACCCUAGUGGAAGUGGGAGGCUCGGCAGUGGGGGCUGCAGGCAGCCUGGAGAAGGUAGAGGGCUUCUUGGGGGCUAUGCAAACCUGGGGGUGUGGGGUAGUAGGAUGUCGGCACCCCCAGCUCCCUGCCCAGAGACACUGUCACCAGGAUUCCUGGUGGGUGGGGCUUGGGGAAAGGCUGGCAAGGUGGGUACAGGCCAAAGGGUGGGGCCUAGGAAAGCUGGGACUUGCUCAGUCAGCAACAGGGGGACUGAGGAGGUCUGGGGGCCACUGGUGGGGCACAGCAGUGGUCAAAUGAGACAAGGCUUGUGGGUCAGGGUCCCUAGUGCCACAGGACUUCCCUCUGCUGGGGACUGAGAAGUGACGACACAGGUGCUCAGCAUGGGGGGUAAGGAGGCAGGCGGGUCUGGUGAGCGCUUAAGGGGCAGCGGCUUUAGGACAUAGGGAGGUGACCACGAGCCAGUGACAGAGUUGGCAGGAGAAGGGAAGGCCGGGCUCCGGGCAGAAGGUCAGCUUGGGCAAGACUCAGGGAAGGCAGGGGGUGGUCAGUAGGGCCGGGGCACCGACGGCCUGACGCCCAGGGGUAUCAGGUGCAUGUGUCAGUGGGUCCAGGAGAUCCAGAUGCAAAGGACUGACACUAUCCAAGUUGUUGCUUGGAGGCCUGGCCAAAGCAUGAAGCCUGGCCUUAGGAGGGGAGAGCCUCAGGAAAGAGCAUCAGGGCUGAGAGCCCACAGGCUCCGUGCACCAACAAGAGAUAAGAGUCAAGUGUGGAAGGAGCCCUCUCCUAAUCUCUCCUGCUCCCCCUCCUCUGGCCGCCUGCCCUUUGGUCCAGGCAGGGUAAAAAAAAAAAAAAUGGUAGGAUGAAAUGUAGGUUAGGUCCGUCUCCUCCCCUGCCUUACAAACCAGCCUAUGGGGAGUCUGUACCCCAACACUCUCUCCUUCAAAUGCCUUCUGCCAGCUCCAGCAGAGACAGGCUUCCCUAGUUCCCUUAGCUGGCCCCAGGCAUUCAGGGUGAGCUACUGGGCCCCAGUCCCCACGGAGCAGCCCCUGGCCCUUCCUCCUGGUCUCUUGACCUGGGAGUCCAAGUUGGACAGGCUCCCAAAUCCGGGCCUGCCAUUGAAUUUGUGGGGCUGCUGCUGACCUGGGCACUCGUUCCCUUCCUUCGGUCUGCCAGUAUCGCAAAUAUUUGUCAAGAGCCUCACAGUGGACAGAAUGACCUUUACGGAACACAGGCUGCUUUUGUCAACACAUUUCACUGAGGUCCACUGCGUGCCAGGGACUGCGGGGUUGGGGCGAUUCAGCGGUGGGCGGAACAGAAACCCCUGCCCCAGGAGCCCAAGUCCCAGGGGUGCACAGGACACACUGAGAAGGUGACCUCUGGGCAGAGGCCUCAAGCAGCUGAGGGACAGCUGGGCCAGAUGGCCACCAGGUGAAGAGCCUUCUGGGCAGGACAAUCCGGGUCAGAAUUACGAAGUGGGAACAAGGGAAGACUAGCUGGGAGAAGUUAAGAGCGUGCCCAGGGCUACACUGUGAGAUGGGGCCCAGCUUCCUGCCGGGGCAGGAGAGGCCAGUGGGGGCUGAGUGGGGGUGGGGCAGGAUGUUGUUCCAGCACCGGCUGCUGUGAGGCAAGGCGAGGCAAGGCCGGGCAGGAAGGGCUCCCAGCCACCACUGGGUGACUGUGCAGUUUCCUUUGCCAGGCUCUGAGACAAGGGGCCUUAUGGCUCAGAGGGAAAAGGCCCCAGUCAAGGGUUUCCUGUAAGUAGAGAGCCAAGGUGACCCGGGAGGUCACAGCUCCGCAACUGGACCUGCAGGGAAUGGAGUCAGGGUUCCGGCACAUUCUCUAGUUGCCCUGCCCUUGGUGUGAACCUGAAGUAGCACCCCUUUCUCGCCCUUCUCCUCUCCCUUUCCCAGGAGCUCCUGCAGGAAGUCUCCUGGGUCCUUUCCUGGGCUGGUGUGUGUUUGGCAACAGAGCUGAGCCGGCUUCAGAAUAAGAGGGGAAGGCGGCCAUGACCGGAGAAAGGACUUGGAACCCAGGCCCUGACCCUGAGAAAUGGAGAUGUUGCCCAAGGGGCCCUUUCCUGUCCUCCUUCCCCCUCCAACCCUGAGCUCCUCAGUGGGCGGCCCAGGAAGGAGAAAGCUUCAGCCGCCUGCCUGCUCGGGUGGGGUGGACCCAUCACCAGCCCCACCCAGGGAUCCAAGUUUCUCUGUUUACACUGUUUUCCUGGAACAGCUUGUUUUGAUCCAGAGAAAUCUGCUGACGCACUGCCUGCUCUCCUCCCUCUGGGCGGAGGACAUUCCUUUCCCAAACAAAACCGGCUGUGUGGAACCAGAGGCCCGGAGAGCUUCUACACAAGGAUCCUCUGAAAGUGCCAUUUCGUCCUUGAAAAUAAAGCGGGUGGACAGAGCAGCUCCAGACACGAGGGCACAAAGAACGGCCUUAUGUCCUUUUGCGAUGGCGAAUCCUAAGCCUCGUGGAACCCGAAUGCUUUGUGUUGCUAAUUCCACCUACUCCUACCUUUCUGAAAAAUAAAAUCUAAAGACGUUUGUUUCUGGGAUUUGGGAAUCCGUGUGAAUGAGGGCGAUUCUUAGACCAGAGGUGGAGAAAAGCAAGCUAAGAUUUCAGGCUGGGCCCAGGAAGCAACGACACAGCGGUGACUACCACCUCUCAGGCACCUUGUAGAUAAAUAAAGGGCUGACCCCACAGCCUGGGACUGUGACGCGGCAGGAAAGGAAUCUGCUUGGUAUUAUUCACACUGUACAGCUUUCUAAAACAUUCGGAAUGGCCAUCCUCUCUUCCCACACUGUUCUCUCAGGCCGAGUCUCUCCAAUCGACCCCUGGAAAUGUCGCCAGGACAAGACUGCGGGGGCAGAUCUCGACGAAAGGUGAGAGGCCAGAAUCUUUCCCGGGCAGAGGAGCUCGGCUAAGCAGCCGUUGGGGAACAAGCCCGGGCUUGCCACAAACUCAGUCAUCAAUGCUGACGGUCACAUGAGAGUCAUGAGAUGAGUUUUGCAAGAACCACAAGGAGGGGCCCAUCUGCAGAUGCCAUCUCACUGAGGCUGGGGAAGAAAUCUUCCCCAGUUUCCUCCCAGUUGCCAAAGGAGCCUGUCGUCAGGGAAUGUUUUGUUUGGGGCGCGGGUGGUUACCCUGGGAGGAGGCUUUCCGGCAGAGAGUUGGUCUAAGGAGCGGUCCUCGCUUGUGGUUAACCUGACCACACAGUCCUCCUUCCACUCUAUAUACUUCAGGGGGCAAGGUCUGAACGGAGGGUACAGGGGGUCUCGAGCUGUGAUUCUCCCUCACCCUGGCAACGAGAUACCACCCGUCCCUUGCAAAAGCCUGACCCAGCGCUCAGGCCUGGGUCCGCCUGGCCUUGGCAGAGGGGAUCGUAAGUCCAGCGGGUUCUUUUGCCUCUGCUCUAGAAGACCCACGUCGGAGGCCUGCUCUAUGUGGGCAGCCAGCAGGCAGUGUGACCCCAAGCCAUCAAACAGUCUCCCUGGGCCCCAUCACAGGCUGUAAAGUACCCUGGAUAAAUGCAGUUUUUCCCCCAAAGUCUCCCUUCUUCCCCGCCUCCCAAUCCAGAAGUAAAACGGGUUGAAUUACAUGUAUCCUUUUGGUCUUACAGCCACGCAGUUGUAUAUUGUUUUCUGCACUGACAAGAUUUUGAUUUCAUCAUUUGGCAAUCACCGAUUUCCCCUUAAUGCAUUAUGAAAAAUCAUUCAGUAGCCUAUCCCAGGCGUGGUUUUCUUACGGAACACCUCAAACCGUCAGGCCCCUGGGGACAAAACAACAAAGCCGUAACACAUUCCCUCCAAGCCACCACGCAGGAACAUCACGGGGCAUUAACGUUUUAAUCAACUUGCCCCCCAACCAUUCCUAACACAACGACCCCACGGCGGGCUUUCUCAACCAGAGAAGCUACGGGCGCAGCUCCGCGCGCGCUUCUGCGAGGGACGGCUGGUCGCCAACAGGCGGGCAGCCCCCGCACCCCUUAGAUAUGUCCCGAGUUCGGCCGCCCGGGGCCUCCGGCCGCCCCGCCCCCACCCGCGCGCCUCGGCGCUGACGUCACCGGCGCUCACGCGGCCGAGCCGCCGCCCGAGGAGUCACGCGGCCGCGCUCCGCCGCCACCGCCCGAGGUGAUGCGCCCUCUGCAGAGAUCCCUCCGCCGCCGCCUGGAAUUUUCCAGGCGCUCUGCCGGCCCUUCUUUCGGGUUUAUGCGGGGCGGGGCGACCUAAGAAGACCCGGCGUUGGCUUUGGCCCCCUCGGGAAUGCGGCCCCAGCCCGCCAACCGCCCACCACUGCCCGGUCUCUCAGGGAAGGGUGUUCCUACUCCCUCGUCCUCCGAAAAGAAAAAGGGGACUCUCCCCCGCGGAAUCCUCUUCCCAAAUAUGACCUUGAAAUCUAUCUUCCGUGUCACGAGGCACUGCUAAAGGGGAGGCGGGGACAACUGAGGAAUCCAGGUGGUGGACGCCCCGGGAGACGAGACCCGCCCCGAGUCGUCUCCUGGGGCAAGAGGGUUGUGAACCCGCGUGGGGAUGAGGCCUGGUCUUGUGGAUACUGAACUUAGCUUCGCGGGCCUGACAGCUCUGGCCCAGGGUGGUAUGUAAUUUUGGUUCGGCCUGGGACAGGGUCCAGGCCGUGCCCAGCCUGGUGAACCCCAGGUCUGGGUGUGAGGUCAGACCCUUUGUCGGAGGUAAGGGUGGUCUCAGGAGUGAUUGAGGAGGUAGGGUGCCAUCAAAGCGGUUACUGGUGUGGCGCCCGACGCCUGACAGGCUGGGGCUGCCGAGGCAGGAUAUUUGUGUGUCUGGGGACAAAAUUGACCCAAGCUUUAUUUUCCAGGUGGCAGUGCUCCCCUUUGGACUUUUCCUCUAGGUUCCGUGCUAACUUCUUCUGUGAGCUCACUCUGCCCUUCCUCCUCCCUUUAACUCUCUCGAGGUUGUCCAUUCGUUUAAAACAUUGCUUCUGGUAACCUGGUAAGCCUGGGAAAGUUGGCAGCGGCCUUGAGAAGUUCGGUUAUGUCGGUAAUCGUGGAGGAGGAGAGGCACGCCCUGCUGAGACUCGGGGUGGGGUGGGGUGGUCUUGCUUGCCUGCGGAGAGGGUGGGGACUGAAUGUGUACCCUUGGGUGGGCCUGCAGCGACGGCACCAGCUGAAGGUUACGAAAUGCCUCAUGGACCAUGGUUUGUUACUGUAGUGUUCAUCGUGGUGAUCAGAUGGCACCAGGAGAAAUGGAGCCCAUGGCCAGUGUGAGUCGUAGCAGUGCAGGAGGGGAGACCCUGAAGGAGAGAGCCCGCCUAAGUUGAUGUCUGCAGAUUGAAUUUCCAGAGGCUUAGGAGGUGGAAGUUUCUCCAGUGUCCUGUUUCCAGGCCUUGCUCAGGAAGCCCUGUGUUCAGGAGGCCACCAUUUCAGGUUUUCAGAUGAGCUCACGAGGGGGCAAUCAUUCAAAGUCCAAAGCAGAUGCAUCGGGCCACCAGCAGAUCUGUUGCUUUGAAUGUUUGAUCCCGGAGCACCAACCCCCAGGCACCCCUCCUUUUCUGGGGCGGAGGUUUUCAGAUGCUGCGUCUUCUAAAUUGAGCCUUCGGUCUUUGCUAGUUCUGUGCUACGAACAUGGCUUCAAGAAGAUUCUUAAGCUGUAGGACGUUCUAACGUGCCACAACGCAGAGUCAUGCCUUGUAGAUGAAUCUUGCAGAUGGAGCCCAGUGACUCGUUCGCCUACCCACGCGCCUGCCUGCCUGCACAUUGGUUGGAGGAAUUAGUGUGAUGGUCUAACCUGUGUCUGGGGAAAGUGUUCACAUUUGAAAUGCCUUGAGCAAAUACUUCAAUGAAGCCUACUGGCAGACUGAAGGGGGUGGGGGGGUGGGGGGGUCGUGUUAUGCUACAGUCCGGGGGUGGGUACAAGUUGGUUGUGGCCAAAUUCUGUUAGAAAUGGCAGGUCUUUGGGCAUUCUGAUUGCAUCACAGAUGACUAAGUGAGGGAAAUGGUUGGGGGGCCACCAGUGGUCUUUGAUGCUUCUAGAUAUUUGUUGAUGUGGAUUUUGCUUGAUUUAAUUUGAAAGUAAACUUCAAAUGGGAGGACCCAACUGAGGUGUGAGGGUUGGGGGGGCACACCUUGGCAUCGGUUCUGGCAGGGGUGACAGUUGGAGUGGUACACGUUGGCAUUGGUACUGGGAGGGGUGGGGGUGAGGAAAGGGAGAGGGUUGGGUUGAUACCGUAUAUGUUGCCGAGGGUCGGGGUGGUAGGGAAUGGGGGUUGGAAGGGAAUUCGGGCACAAAGGGUAAAAUUCUGGGGAAGGUAAUCGACUCACAGAGGAAGAAGGUACUAGUUAACGCCACUAAAUUGUUAGUGCUAGUUACAUUGUGCUUAGAAAGCACAAAAGAUUGCUUCAAAACUUUAGAAAGAAGCUAAAAUCGUUUUGCCUUGCUGCAAGGUGGGAAAGAGGGAGGACAACUGAACAUGAGUACACGUCCCGUGAAAGCUGGGUGGCAGGAGUCCCCGUCGGCAGAGUGCUCACUAGCCUUUGCUGCUCCAUGAGCUUUUUCAGUGGUUUAUAUGAAGGUGUGCGGGUGUUGGGGAGCUGUAAGUCUUAGAAAGGACUUUAAAUGUGCAAAUUGGGAGCUUUCAAAGUAUUGAAGUUUAAAAUUGUGGUGUGCACUUGAGAUUAGACGUACUCUUUGGCGUUUGGAACAUUUGUAUUUACUGAGAUGUUGUGGUUGAAAAUUCUGAGCAAAGUGAACGUGCAAUGAUAGGAAUUUUAUGUCUCAAACACAUCUCUUGCCUUUGUGGUCCGUGUUAAUAGCAGUAAAAAUUUUUGCUAUUAGUUUUUGUAACAGAAUAACCUUUUUAUGGUCGCUGUAAAAUUACUGUGAUAUAUAGUAGCAAACAAUCCAUGUAGCCUUGCAAAGGUCGAGUGAAUCGAUUUCUAUCUUUAGUUUGAACAUUUGUGCUUUUCAGAUUGAUCCAGUACUGGAGCAACUCUCAGCCAAAAUCAGUUUGGGGAACAGGCAAAAUGGUGGCGGGGGGAGCGGGGAGCCUUUACUAGAUGUGGUCUGUUUUUAAAAAUUCGGGGAAAGACAAGAAAACCGUUGAUGAUUACGUGUUUCUGAGAUGCAUCUAGGGAGUUGGUAAAGUAAUACCAGUAGCUCUUUCUCCUGGCCUCUAACCUUAGAUUUCACUAAAAAUUUUAAAUCCCCAAUACCUUUUGCUUCUGGGAUUUUUGUCUUAUGGGUUCUUUUUUAAUGUUUAAAAAUAUGUUGGUAUCGUUCAGCUUUUCAUCAUGACUUGGGUAUGAUGUAAUUCCUGUCCUCAGAAUUUAUUAGUCAUGCGCAUAUGGGGAAAUGUGUUUGUGUAUGCUGUUGUGAAAUGGAAGCUGUUACACUGCGUAAAGUACUUUUGUGUUGCUCUGUGCUGAGAACUAGUCUUCUGUUGCAUCGUGUACAUGAUUACUAAUCGUUUUCUUUACAGCACAAAUAAAGGUUUGAGUUCUAAAACUC